rnacentral:rRNA from 1 species
UACGUAGGAGGCAAGCGUUGUCCGGAAUUACUGGGCGUAAAGCGCGUGUAGGUGGUGGGACAAGUCUGCUGUGAAAGCGCCUGGCUUAACCGGGCGAGGUCGGCGGAAACUGUCCGACUCGAGGACGGUAGAGGGGGGUGGAAUACCCGGUGUAGUGGUGAAAUGCGUAGAGAUCGGGAGGAACACCUGUGGCGAAGGCGGCCCCCUGGGCCGGCCCUGACACUGAGACGCGAAGGCGUGGGGAGCGAACGGG